rnacentral:lncRNA from 1 species
AUGCAAUAUAUAGCUACAUUCACAUGCUCUCCUUUUCUUAGGGAUCACAUAAGUAAGUCCUAGGUGACAUAUGAGAAAAGUAAAGUAUAUUUUAAAGCUGCCACAGUAUUAGGUAAAAUCUGGAAAUUUAUACGUUGAGAACAAAGUAAUGGAAAUUCUAAUUUAAAUCAGAGGAAUGGGAGUUUUGUGUUUUAUAGCAGCCACUGUGUGUAGAAAUGAUUUUGCAGGAUUUUUCUUCUUCAGAUACAGCCACUGGGCAGCUAUUUGAAGACAUAAUUGGAUUUGAGUCUCAUCCAAAGAGUCAGAAAGACUCUUACGGGAAACAGCAGGAGUGUCACGUGAAUACAAGCUUACAAAUGACAACAGCAUUACAGUGGACUCUGGAAUUUUGCCGAGCACUAAGUUGUAUCUGCUGGUUUUUCCUGGCAUGACUUUCAUUUCUCAGAAAGGGAUAAAGAAAGUCCCUGGCAACCUGAGCACUGCAGUCUUCCUUUGGCACCAGCUAAAAGUCUAAGGACGAUUUUCCCUGGACUAAGUGGGAUCACAUGCUAAUCCCUACCAUCCUUGUAGGCCAAGGUACAGAAUGUUCUGAUUAUACACACACGGAAUCAUGUGCCUAUCUCUGGAGCUUUAUAGCAGGACCGGCAGCAGCUUGAGAACACAGACAGAAGUUGAAGAGGAGCGUUUCCCUUAUAGAAGAUAAAAAUAAAGAAUGGCCAGUGAAUGGUGGGCAAAACAUCACCGGGAAACAAACCAAACACAUGCUGUUCACUGUUCUGCUGCUUUGGUUAAUAGAAGAAAAUAUGGAAUGAGGGAGAGAGAAGAAGUGUAAACUAAAAGGGUGUUAUUUUCCUACAAGUGGUAUAAAUGAGUGCCCGUCAUGGCCCAACGUUCUACACUGGAAGGGUCACGGGCAUCCUAGGGCUUCCUCAAAGUGUGGAAUACUACUUCGGGCCUCUUGCUCUAAAGACUGAGUUUGUGCAAGUGGAUUGAUUUGCAAUUUCUGCCAAAACAGAAUGUCAGAAACUAAGAGCUUCCAACCACACAAACUUAUUAUCUUACAGUUGCAAAAAUC